CAAAUAUGUUGUUGGGUUACGAGUUUUUGAGUCUAAUACAUUUUAGACGGUGCCCCAAGGAAAACUACAAGUUCACCAGAUGGUUAAUGAAAGAAGGCCUACUUCGAAAAUGGAUGAAAUGCCCCUCUUGCUCUCAUGUUAUGAAGUUGAAACGGUCCUACGGCAAAAAGGAGGCAGCAUGGUGAGUAGAACAACUAGACAUGUGCCUUAUUUAUUAAUUCUUUCUUUGUGUGUAAGCAUAGGGGAGUGUGCAGCAUGCAGCCAUCCAAUUAUAUCUGCUAGAAUUCAGUGGCAAAUCCUAUAUUUUACGACAAUUUUUUUAAUACAGAAGUUAUGAGUGGUGUACACACAAAAUAUGCUAAGUCACAUCUAGACAGUCACAAUACAAAUCACACACACAGCUGCAAAUUUUAACUUUUAAGUAAGCUACUGUUUAUUUGGUAGAGAUAGGGGUGUUAAUGUUUCCACAAAGUAUAUGUGUACAAAAUCUGAAAUGAAAAAUUGCUUUUUACCAAUUUUAGAUCACAUUCCUGGUCAUAUUGUUCACCUAUUUAACAAUACAUGCCACCAAUCAGCUUGACUUUAAACUUGUACAUGCACAGGGAUUAAUUGAUUGAUAUCACCCUUUUCAUGCUGCGUGGCACGGAAGCACAAGUGGUGACAAGUAGAGUAGAGUAGACACAGCUAAAUUUACUCAAAUGUCUAACCCAAUUUAAGGUGUAAGUUAUAGAUAUUACUUGUCAAGUAGGCCUAGAAAUGGGACUGUUCUGUUGUGCUUUGAGAUUGCAUGGGGGGAGGGAAUCACAAGAACUACGACCUUGUUCAAUCCCAAUCUUAGCUGUUUCAACACUUAUACAUAAACAUCUAUGUCCCCCUCUCCAUCUUCAUUUAUGUUACAUUUUUAUUAAGUGAAAUCAGCACAGUAUCAUAGGUUUUUAUUUUGUUACAUUAACCUUUGGAUUUAAUCAUCAGGACAUGCCGAGAUUCCUGUCACAAAGGGAAAACGGUGUCGAGGUCCAUCCGAAGUGGCUCAAUGUUUGAGAAUUCUCACAUUCGACUGCAUACGUGGAUGCAUUACAUCUACAGAUUCGCCCAAGGCCUUCGACUGAGACAAGUGGACAUGCUGCAGGAAGGAAUUACUCGGAGUUCUGCAACUCUGAGUAAACUUGCAGACAAGCUGCGGAGAGUUUGCAAAUCAGGAAUGAAAAGAAUGAGAAGAAGAGGCAAGCAGACUGUUGGACAAAGAGCAAAGAUUGUUAUGAUAGAUGAAAGCAAAUUUGGCCAUAAAAGAAAGUACAACAGAGGACGGGCAAGCAACAGGAGUUCCUGGGUGUUCGGAAUGCUAGGGAUUAAGAAUGACAGGAGGAGACCCAUUCUUAAGAUUGUGCAUCACCGUUCAGUCAGGCAUCUAAUAAAGAAGCAUGUUCGUCGUGGAAGCUCUGUCAUUUCAGAUGGGUGGAGGUCUUACCGCCGUCUUCAGGAUGAAGGGUACAAUCACCUGACUGUCAACCAUCAAGAUUUUUUUUGUCGACCCUGUUACAGGUGCACAUACACAAAACCUGGAGAGAUUUUGGGGUAUUUGCAAGUCAACUAUCUGGAGACAAAGAGGGAACCGCACACAAAAACUGUUGAGGGAUCACUUAGAUGUAAUUGAGUGGACUUAUUGGCGUGGAAAACAUCACAAUAACGGAACACUUGGAAUGCUUUUGCAUGACAUUAGGAAAAAAUAUCCAGUAUGAAACCUGUCUGAAAUGUAGAUGCAGAUAUCAAGUUGAUAUUUAUACUACCAGUCAAAAGUUUCGACACACUAAAUGUACUGUUACCUCCAGGGCUGUAGUGGUCAAAUUAGAGGUGGGUAAACUAUGAAUUUUGUGAUCAGACCGACCUCGACACAACGCAACGCAACGCAAAGUGUUGCGACUCUGUAAGGCAAGCCUGGCUAUAUUCCAUUAUGUUAUCAAUUAAAGUCAUAUUAAAUCAAUCAAUGACAGUUAAUGAAUGUGUUUGUAGUUUAUUCAAGUUAUUCAAAUAUCAACAGUAAAGAAAGGUAUGUGUAGAUUAAGAACUAUAUCUAUGGCAUGUGUGUAUGUGUGUGUAUUAGUAUGCAUGCUUUUCACAGUAGUGCCCAGAGGGUCUCAUGUCCUCCACGUCAGGUCCUGCCUUGCAGGGGUGUGUUCUGGGGUUCAUGGCUCCCCUGUGCUUCACCAGCCAGGACUUCACAUACGUGUUGGAUUGAACUUUGUGGUGGCUGAGUGGUGGGCCAUUCAGUUGAAUAAACAUCAAGGACGACACUGUGACCAUGAAGUGCAGACUGCAUCUCAGGGGGCACACUAUGAUGUUCGUUAAGCUGAACCCCCUCUCACACUCAGCAGUGCUAACUGGAAUGAGAUGGUCGAUAUUCAGGAGUGGUGCAAGGUUUUCUGGAAUGAUGCUUGAGUUAUCCUUAAAAUCCCUAUAGCCUUCAAGAAUUUUUCUGUCAUCAAGUCUGAACCUUUGGGCAAGUUGUUUCAACUUGGAUUCCCCAUACGGUUCCUCUAGUCUAGGGGAACAGGCCAGUUUGCUGGGAAAAUAACUUAAAAGAAAAUAAAUAAUAAUCGAUUUAACCGCCA